rnacentral:rRNA from 1 species
GUGGGGAAUAUUGGGCAAUGGGGGAAACCCUGACCCAGCAACGCCGCGUGAGUGAAGAAGGUCUUCGGAUCGUAAAACUCUGUCUUAGGGGACGAAAGAGAUGACGGUACCCUGAGAGGAAGCCCCGGCUAACUACGUGCCAGCAGCCGCGGUAAUACGUAGGGGGCGAGCGUUGUCCGGAAUUACUGGGCGUAAAGGGCGCGUAGGCGGUCUGUUAAGUUAGAUGUGAAACCCCCGGGCUUAACCCGGGGCAUGCAUCUAAAACUGGGAGACUUGAGUGCAGGAGAGGAAAGCGGAAUUCCUAGUGUAGCGGUGAAAUGCGUAGAUAUUAGGAGGAACACCAGUGGCGAAGGCGGCUUUCUGGACUGUAACUGACGCUGAGGCGCGAAAGCGUGGGGAGCAAACAGGAUUAGAAACCCUAGUAGUCC